ACUCCUUCCUGACACUCACGCCACCAUGUCCUCCCCAAAGUGCAUUUGCAUUUUAACAGCCAUCUUCCGUGAGCUGACUCUGUGGUUUUCAGUCAGUGGUUUCCAGUCGGCUAUUUGUCAUAAGUUCUGGAGGUUGGGAAGUCCAAAGUCGAGUGGCCGUAUCCGGUGAGAGCCCUCCUGCAGCAUCAUCCCAUGACGGAAGGUGUCCCAUGGUGAGAGAGCACGUAUACCAGCUCAGGUCUCCCUUCCUUUUCUCAUAAGGCCACAUCCCCCAUCGGGUCCCAUCCUGAUGUCCUCAUCUAAUCCUAGUUACCUCCCAAAGGCCCCACCUCCAAUCAACAUGUGACUAUGGGGAGUAAGUUUCCAGCCUAUGAAACUGGGGGACACAUUCAAACCACAGCACCAAGCAAGCUGGAGCAGCCAAGAGGAAGCCACAUGUUCCUGCAGGGCAGGGCAGCCUCCACCAUGCAGGGCUGGGACAGGCCAGGGCAGUGAGGGCUCAUGGGGGCCGCACCCACGCCAGCUCCUGCAGCACCAGCCUCUGGCCAGCUGUGUGCCUGGAGCAGAGGGGAGCAGGACCCACGUCCCAGUCCCCCACAUCCCAGAUCUCACCGAAGAGAUCAACUAGCCUAGGGCCAGGCCAGUAGGAGAGGACCUUGUCCAUUUUCUCCAUGAAAAGUCAACAUUUAUCUCUCCAAGUACAAGUCACUUCCUAAUCUUGAGAUGUGUGGAAACAAGCUCUUUAUGCUGAAAAUCAACUUCUACAUUUUAGUUCUGAGAUGUGAUUCUGCCAGCCAUGGUGGACGAGGAGGAUGGUAGGGACUUAGCUAGAGUAGCACGUCCUCACUAGACAGGGGUGGGUGGUGUGGGGAGGUGGGGGGCUUGGCCUUAGCCUGAGUGUGACGUUCAGCCUGCAUCUUGAGCACAGUGAGAGCCUGAGCCACUGCACCACUGAAGAUGCUUAGAAGAGAGACCACAGCAGGCGAGGAGGCUUCCCAGGGGUCUGCGCUGACAAACCAGGGAUGAGGGUGGCCAGCUGUGCAUGAGCCCCCCAGCGCCCAUGCAGGCGUCCCCACCUUCACCACCUAAGUGUGGUCACGCACCCAGGGAGAGCUUUCAACCUGGCUCUCUCAAGUGUGUUUCUAAACACUAGAGCCAGGAAUCCUGUCCUGUGGGUCCCUGAAACAUAACCGGUGAGCCCAAGAUCUCCUCGGAGAAACAAGGCUCCCCUUAGGGAGGGCCCAGGAACGUGGGGGCCUCUGUGAGGCAGAGGGUCCCAGAGGGUAUGACCGUUUCUGCAGAAUGGUGGCCACUCUGCAGAAACAAAAUCACAGCCCAGGAAGAGCUGCCAAAGUGGGGGCCAGGGGAGCCGGAGAGGGGGACUGAGCCAGAUGCCUGCAGAGCCGUGGCUCACAGCCUCUAGGAGGUACGCCCAUGAAUGUUUCAGAACACAUUUGAGGACUGACGUAUGUGACCAACUUUUUCUUUUGUUAAGCAAGGAUUUUUAAUCACCAUUACUGGAUUAAAGAAAAAACAUUUUGGCUGGGUGCAGUGGCUCACACCUUUAAUCCUAGCACUUUGGGAGGCUGAGGCAGGCGGAUCACUUGAGGUCAGGAGUUUGAGACCAGCCUAAGCAACAUGGCGAAAUGCCAUCUCUACUAAAAAUACAAAAAUUAGCCAGGCCUGAUGACACGCACCUGUACACCUGUAGUCCCAGCUACCUGGGAGGCUGAGGCAUGAGAAUUGCUUGAACCUGGGGAGGCGGAGGUUGCAGUGAGAUGAGAUGGUGCCACUGCACUCCAGCCUGGGUGACAGAGUGAGACUCCAUCUCAAAAUAAAUAAAUAAAUGACAUUUUAAUACCACAAUUAGGAUAAUUUCAGAAUAAAAAUUUUUUUUCUUUAAAACUUUGUAGAAAAUCCCACACACCCAAUUUGGCCUUGUCUGGGAAAUGUGAGGAUUCCUGUCUCCUGGGACAGACAGUCUCACUGCCAGGCAUCCUCCCCCUGCAGUGAUUCACAUCCUACAAUGUCUGCCCUGAUGUGUCAAUUGUAGAGUAGGUCCCUCAUGGAGGCCCAGAGGCCCCAGCCCAGAGCCCGUCUGUCAGUCAUUGGCUGAGAGUGGUUGGGACAGGUGACCCCGCAGUUGAGGCGACCCCCCACGAUCUCUGGAAAAGGCAGCUGAGCCCCAGUUGCAGCAGGUUGGGGGAGAUGGUGCUGCCACAGCACAAAGGACCUAGCCCCAGUGGCACCCACCACUGUCAGAACUCUCCACUGAGGGCCAGGGUGGAUCUUUCCUCCCACAUCCAAGCGCAUCUGACAUCUUCACCUUGAAUCCUGAGUUUCUCUCUUAACUCUGUCUCACUUUGUCAUGAACAAACUCUUUCUUGAAAGUUGUAUUUCUCUGGGGCCAGAAAGGCGAGGAAAGAGGCGCUUUCUCCUGGGAGGUGGGCCUCGUGUGUCCCUGUCGUGGCUGAGAGUGACUGCCCCAGCACCUAUGAAGAAAGCCCAGAGACUCUGGAGGCUCAGCUGGGAUAACGCCUGGCGUGCUCGGGGGUCAUGGCCACCGCCUGGACUCUGGAAAAAUGGGAAAAAUGCUCUUGGCAGACAGCGGGGCAGUCAGGAGGGAGCUGGCCCCACCAGCCCAGGCAACGCCCAAGAGCUGUCCUCCCACUCGGCUCCAGGAGACGUUUAAAUGGGGCCUGACUCCCCCAUCUCUGAUUUAAAAGAUAACCAGAAGCAGCAGAGAAAACAUCUGAAGUGCUUCCUGGACACACCUGUUAGGAAGUUUCUGCAAGAACCCAGGUAAGAGCUGGACUAAGCGGGGGUCCGUGGGUGGGAGGAGGGAGAACGCCUGCCUGGGCAUUUACAGAGAUGAGUUUGCAGAGAUAAUGAUGCCAGGGUUUCAGCCCCAGCCCCAGGAAGAGAACGGCAGCAGGAAAAGUUAGAGAGGAGAGGGAGCAGGAGGUGGAGAGCUCGGCCCCUCCUUCGCUGCUGCCCUCUGGGUGACGCUCAGCGGAGGCGCCACGUAGCAGCUGCGAGAGCCCCGAGACAACCUCUGCACUGUUUAUGGGAUCGCAUUAGGGGAGCAGCGGCCCUGCAUGACCCCACAGGUGAGCAGGACACCUCAUCAUAGGGUAGGCACGUGAGCAGACUCACCCUCACACAGCUGCCUUCAGGGCUGCCCAGGUCAGGUGCUCAGAACACAAAAGAAAGUGAGACAAAGUCGCCACCCUGGAGUUUACGAGCUGGCGUGGGAGACAGGCUGGCACUGAGGAUGACAGUGGAGAGAGAUCGGGCUGGGAAGAACCGGAGGCGCUGGGGAAGCCGGGUCAGCAGGGAGACCCCAGCAGAGUGGGAGCCGGAGGACGGCGGCGACUGCAGCCCGACUGUUUCAGGUGGCGUCCUCGUCACGAGAGGAGCUUGAGCGGGUCGUGGCCUUCCUGGCAACCUGCCUACAGAGAAAACGAUUGCUGGGUGCAGAUGUCUCGAACAUUUAUUGCAUUCCACGUUGUCAGUCAAUAAAACAGCUUUGCGAGCGUAAUACUGACAAAAUCAAGUUCAGGCGGUAAGCCCCAGGGCUUCCAAGAAAAGUGGAUCGGGGGGCUUGCUCAGCUCUGGUAUCCAGGGGGGGCCACUGCCUGGUUCCCAGGCAAAGGAGUACAAACUGCCGGGAGAAACAAGGACCCUGCAGGAAGAAGGGACCUGCCCGACUUGUUCCCCCGCACCCACAUCAGGAAUUUUCCCAGAAAGCCAUCCACUUUGUUAGAGACAAAAUAAAGGUCAUUUGGAGAAAAACCUGCCAGCAGCUGCUGCUGCUUGAAAAUAGAAAAGAUUUUAAAAGUAGCAGUGUUGGGAGGCCAAGGCAGGCAGAUCACCUGAGGUCAGGAGUUCGAGACCAGCCUGGCCAACAUGGCGAAACCCCGUCUCUACUAAAAAUAGAAAAAUUAGCUGGGCAUGGUGGUGAGCACCUGUAAUCCCAGCUACUCGGGAGGCUGAGGCAGGAGAAUCACUUAAACCUGGGAGGCGAAGAUUGCAAUGAGCUGAGAUUGUGCCACUGCACUCCAGCCUGGGCAACAGAGCAGGACAUCGUCUCAAAAAAAAAAAAAAAAUGCAGCAGUGGUUUGAAAUCAUGCAUUUUUAUGUGUUAUCCUCAAACAUCUGAGGGAGAUAAGAAAGAAUAUACCACGGAUGAGAAUAUUUAUAAUUAUCAGAAAAAAAACUGCCUCCUAGGAACAAUCCUGUGAGCUCCAUCAUCAAAUCUGAUUCAGAAGCCUCCAAAUCCCCUACUUGCCCUGGCAGCUGCUACCCACCUCACAGCUGUCCUUUGCAGAUUACUACAAAUGUUCUCUUAAAUAUUCAUUUAUCCCCCAGCAUUGACAGGUGAGGAAUGAUGUUGCUUGGGCUAUUUCUGCCCCAGGUGGCCCCUGUAAAGCCGGGACCUUGGAUCCCCUCUCUCAUAUGAGCCUCCUAAGCGGGCUCCCAGCUCCUGGAUGGGGUCUUCUCAGGGCCUAGGGCCCCCUCAUCUGCCCAGAACAAACUUCCUCAUCCAGAUGUCACCAUUCACUUCCCCAGGUCCUCCUUCCCACCAGACAUGAGGAUUUUAACUUGAUCAUCUCUGCAAAGACCUUAUCUUCAAAUACAGUUACAUUCUGAAGUCCUGGGGGUUAGGGCUGCAACACCCGAAUUGGUGGAGACAAAAUCCAGCUCCUGACAAUACCGCGUAUGAUAGCUGCGUCUCUGCCUGCAGUACUGUUUUCCAGGGAAAGCAUCUUUGAGUGUAUUCAGAAAGCCUCUCUCUGGGGCCAGGCCUUGCAGAGAAUCCUUCAGAAACUGGACAACCCCACCCAAGGCAGUCAGUGGGGAGGACACAUUUGGUGCCUCAUUGGUCCCUGGAUCUGCCUCACAGUCCUCAAUGUUCCUCCUCGUUCCCUCUACUCUUUCUCCUCUUUGGUUGACCUUGAAGCUCAUUCCUGGUGAAGGCCCCGUGGGAGCAGUGCAAUGACAAGAGGAGCCUGUUUUCAAUAGCACCCUCACGCUCUCCAGGGGUCCAUUGGAGGCGCCUAUGACCUCCUGAUGCUGAGGAGCCUAGAGUGGGCAGCCCUCGGGCCCAGGCUCCACCUGGGUGAGGCCUGUUUUAUUAUCAAUACUCACCACAGUCAUUUGUGGGAGUGUAAUGCUCAUAUUCCCAUUUAAGAGAUGAAUAAACUGAGGCAAGGUGAAGUGACUCAGCUGAGGCCACACCACAGUUUAAUGGGGAAGCCAGGAUAAGAGCUGGCGGCUUCUAUGUCUGAUCUACACUCUGAUGGGAGGUCGUCAGAGAGCCAUGUAAACGGUGAGGAGGUGACAUGCUGGUCCCUUCCAUAAAAGCUGUUUUGCAAAAUUAAAACACACACACAGUAAAGAUCCAGAUUUAUGCAAGUGAGAGUGAGGGGCUGACUAUUUACCAGUCAACAGAUCUCCCCAAAUGGUUCUCUGCUUGGGGUUGAGAUGCUCCUGACCAGCAGGGCUUGGGGAGAGACAUUCUUGCUCCCCCUAGAGCUGGCUGACCCAUACCCAGGGGAUUCUGAGCACCAGGGGCUGGGAGCAGCAUGUACCACGUGUUUCCCAAGAGUUAGUCAUGUUUGCUCCUAAAACUUAUUGUAAUCGAGGAAUCUAAUUAAACAAUACACCAACUGAAGAAACAGUG